rnacentral:rRNA from 1 species
AUACGGAGGAUGCGAGCGUUAUCCGGAUUUAUUGGGUUUAAAGGGAGCGUAGGCGGGAGCUUAAGUCAGCGGUUAAAUGGUGCGGCUCAACCGUGCCCUGCCGUUGAAACUGGGUUUCUUGAGAGUGCAAGAGGCGGAUGGAAUUCCUGGUGUAGCGGGGAAAUGCUUAGAUAUCAUGAAGAACUCCGAUUGCGAAGGCAGUCCGCUGGGGCACGUCUGACGCUGAUGCUCGAAGGUGCGGGAAUCAAACAGGAUUAGAUACCCUGGUAGUCCGCACGGUAAACGAUGAUUACCCGCUGUCGGCGGUAGACAGUCGGCGGCCAAGCGAAAGCGAUAAGUAAUCCACCUGGGGAGUACGCCGGCAACGGUGAAACUCAAAGGAAUUGACGGGG